GUGUAGCUCAGUGGUAGAGUGCUUGCCUAGCAUGCAGGACGUCUUGAGUUUAAUCCCCAGCAC
rnacentral:tRNA from 1 species